AUGGUGGGAAUUGAAGAGGUGAAGCUGGGAGUACUGUGUGAGGUGGUCUCGGUGGUUGGGAUGAAAGAAGUGAAGCUGGGAGUGCUGUGUGAGGUGGUCUCGGUGGUGGGGAUGAAAGAGGUGAAGCUGGGAGUACUGUGUAAGGUGGUCUCAGUGGUGGGGAUUGAAGAAGUGAAGCUGGGAGUACUGUGUGAGGUGGUCUUGAUGGUGGGAAUUGAAGAGGUGAAGCUGGAUGUACUGUGUGAGGUGGUCUCCAUGGUGGGGAUGAAAGAGGUGAAGCUGGGAGUACAAUGUGAGGUGGUCUCGGUGGUGGGGAUUGAAGAAGUGAAGCUGGGAGUACUGUGUAAGGUGGUCUUGAUGGUGGGUAUUGAAGGGGUGAAGCUGGGAGUACUGUGUGAGGUGGUCUCGGUGGUGGAAAUGGGAGAGGUGAAGCUGAAAGUAGUGUGUGAAGUUGUCUCAGUGGUCGGGAUUAAAGAAGUGAAGCUGGGAGUACUGAGUGAGGUGAUCUCGGUGAUGGGAAUUGAAGAGGUGAACCUGGGUGUACUAAGUGAGGUGGUCUUGGUGGUGAGAAUUGAAGAGGUGAAGCUGGGAGUACUGUGGGAGGUGAUCUCAGUGAUGGGGAUUGAAGAGUUGAAGGUAAAAGUACUGUGUGAGGUCAUCUCAUUGGUGGCAAUUGAAGAUGUGAAGCUGGAAGUACCAUGUGAGGUGGUGUUGGUGGUGAGGAUUGAAGAGGUAAAGCUGGGGGUACUGUGUGAGGUGGUCUUGCUGGUGAUUGUUGAAGAGGUAAAGCUGGGAAUAGGGUGUGACGUGGUCUCAGUGGUGGUGAUUGAAGAGGUGAAGCUGGAAGUACUGUCUGAGGUCUCAGAAGUGAGAAUUGAAGAGGUGUAGAUGUGAGUAGUGCGUAAGGUCAUAUUGGUAGUGGGAAUUAAAGAGGUGUACCUGGUAGUACUGUUGUUUGAGGUGGUCUCGGUGGUGGUUGUUGAAGAGGUAAAGCUGGGAGUAGUGUGUGAGGUGGUCUUGGAUAUGGUGAUUGAAGAGGUGAAGCUGGGAGUACUGCGUGAGGUGGACUCAGUGGUGAAGAUUGAAGAGGUGUAGAUGGGGGUACUGUGUGAGGUGGUCUUGGUGGUGG
rnacentral:lncRNA from 1 species